CGCACCUUGCGCUCCUUGGAAUUCCGAGGAGCAUGCCUGUUUGAGUGUCAGUAAAUUCUCAACUCCUUCAGCUUUUUGUAGUUGAAGUGAGCUUGGAUAUGGAGGUUUUGCGGGUUCAAUCUAAUUGAAUCGGCUCCUCUGAAAUACAUUAGCGGAACCGUUUGCGAUCCGUCACAGGUGUGAUAAUUAUCUACGCCUAGUGGGUUGCUCUCUGUCUUGUUCAGCUGCCAACCGUCCCAGUCAUGGGACAACUUCAUUACUGAACUUUUGACCUCAAAUCAGGUAGGACUACCCGCUGAACUUAA
rnacentral:misc_RNA from 1 species